GAACUGACUGAUUACAGAGGGAUCCCCCUGCUCAGUGUUCUGCGGGACCUGUGGGUGAUGACUAAUGACAGUCCUUACCAAGGAGGGGUUUUUUCCCGACCAUCCACUUCCCUACAGAUUAUCCUUUCAAGCCCCCAAAGGUUGCUUUCACUACCAGAAUCUAUCACCCUAAUAUCAACAGCAAUGGCAGCAUUUGCCUGGACAUCCUGAGGUCACAGUGGUCCCCAGCACUGACUGUGUCUAAAGUUCUCCUGUCUAUCUGCUCUCUGCUCUGCGACCCCAACCCUGAUGACCCACUCGUGCCAGAAAUAGCCCACACUUACAAGGCCGACAGAGCGAAGUAAAACAGACUAGCAAGAGAGUGGACACAGAAAUAUGCUAUGUAAGUGCCUCGAAGGCUCCAUGGAAGACCCUGUCCAAGAGAAGCUCGCCCCACAGAGUGACCUUCCUGUGAAGCUCUGAGCUCUUGGCUAAGGCACUCUCGGAACAUCCUGUGUUCACACAUGUGUUGGCACUCACCUCUGUGGCUGCAGCAUGUUGGUGCCACUUUUAGCCAUUGUGGCCUUGACAGUACCACACCUUUGAUACUAAAUCAGCAACCACUGUUAUGAUCUACAGUCUUCCUGGUUACACUAGAAUCUGUCUGGGGAAUCAAGCCAUGCAUGCCUCCUGUACUUGUCCUCAAAUGGUGCCACUACUCACUGUGACACUCUAGAGGGGCCCAGUCUGCCCCCUGACCACCUGCCCUUUGCCUUUAGAGCACAGUGAUUUCCUAGGGGCCCAGACAGAGUGGGCUCUCUUCAUACUUUGUCUGCCACAGAACCAUGUCCUAAGGAGUGCCACUAUGUCCUGGAGGCUCCUAGAAAUUGGAACAGCC
rnacentral:lncRNA from 1 species